rnacentral:rRNA from 1 species
UACGUAGGGUGCAAGCGUUAAUCGGAAUUACUGGGCGUAAAGCGUGCGCAGGCGGUUGUGCAAGACCGAUGUGAAAUCCCCGGGCUUAACCUGGGAACUGCAUUUGUGACUGCAUGGCUAGAGUUUGGCAGAGGGGGGGUAGAAUUCCACGUGUAGCAGUGAAAUGCGUAGAGAUGUGGAGGAACACCGAUGGCGAAGGGCAGCCCCCUGGGUCAAGAUUGACGCUCAUGCACGAAAGCG